UGCCAGAACGCCAGAAACCCUUUUUAGCAACAAGAAAUUGCUGUUUGACAACUACAGUUUCGUAGUGCAGGGACUUGAGAACUGGCCGCAUCUUUUUUAUCAUUUCUGUGGUGUCUCUCAACACAAACCAUCUGUCAGGUCUCAAUAUCCUGUCUAUUUCAGCUGCUACCUCCAUGAUGCCUCGCUGCAUACCUAUUUGUAAGACUUCCAAGAAGAUAGCUCAUGUGAAGGAGAUCAUAGGUCCGUGGGUACGUGUUGAAAGAUUCACACCAAUCAUGAUAUACCCCAAUAAGGCCUCUGUUGAAAAUAACUGGCAAAGUAUCGGGCUGACCGACCGGAACAACAUUCAUUACCCAUAAUGGUUUAUCAACAAUCGUGUUUUCUUACCCUCCAUAACCAGCAUUCAUGUCCAUUACAUUGCGGGUGGAUGACCAAUUAACUGGAAAAUCAUUAUAGUAUAUUUCUGAAAUGGCAUGUUUCCAAUACUUCGUAUCAACAUCAAACUUCUCGUCGGUACUUGAAGAAUCAUCAGGCACAUUUAGAUAUCUGGCAUUAAGUCUUUCAGGCCAAGGAAGGGGCCAGCUGCUCUUUUCAAUUGAACUGGAAAUGCAUGUAUCAAGAGGAGCGAUAUGAGCUAUAAAUUACCAAGGAAAACGGGGCCCAUCUUUCUUAGAACACAUAGGGGGUUCAUUUGUCCUUCUCUCCAGGUAGCAAGAGUUUGAUGCUGGUUUUUGAUAUACGACAACACCAAUUCCAUUACUAUCUUCAGAUUUUACCACUGUUCUCCAACAGAUUGAUUUGAACAUGACACCACACAAACCAUUCCAGUCAUCUUGAUCUCUUUUUUCUUGACGGUAGACAGGGGUUGCAGACCAAAUGUAAUAUCCUCCAGGCCUGAGAACUCUGUUAAGCUCCAACAAUGGUUUUCCACCAAUGGACCCUGCACCUUGCACAGUGGACAACAUCAAAUGCCUCAUCAGGGAAAGGAAGUUUUUGUGUUCCAAUAACAGCUAGAAAUGCUGGAAUACCACGUUCUAAUGCAAACUGUAUCUGAGCUUCAUGCUCAUCCUUUGGGGCAAAUGACAUGGUAAUGACGUUCCUGUCAAGCAAGUAUCCACCAAAGCUGGCAACACCACAUCCAACAUCCAGGACAGUUUUUGUGUGUGUUCCCCAUUGAAUGUAAUAUCUACCUGUUCAAUAAACUGAAUGUAUCUUGUAACGCCAGUUUUGAAUUGAGUUCCACCUCCAGGGAAGACAAGAUAGUCACCAGAUUUUGUUACCCAGUUUUGGUCCUUCUUAUACUCCACCAAUUUAGGGUGAGGAACAUUGUUGUACCAAAUCGACGGAGGCAAGCGCGCGAGGUCCUCACCAUGUCACGGCUGCGCGGCCACGGCACGGGCGACCGGUACCCGGAGGGCACCCGCACCAGGCACCUGGGCCGCGGCGCCACGGGGCAGUGGCGCUCCCGGUGCUCCAUGUGGCGCCUCGAGCGCAGCGCCUUGAUCGCCCUCAUGUUGUCGAGGCACGGGAUGUAGUCCGCCGACGACACCCCUCUCCCCGGCCUGCAAGUCUCCCACCUCACCUUCGCCGCCGGCUCGUCCCCGCCACCGCCGCCGUCGUCAUCCGCCACUCCCUCCGUGGCGGCGGCGCCCUUAUCCGCAUCGAGCCGUGGCGACUCGCUACUUCCACCACCUUCCCCUGCUGCAGCGUCGGCGUUGACGGCGGCGGCGGUGUCGUCUGGUCGCGAUGCGGUCUCUUCGGCUUUUUCGGUUGCGUCGGCGCUCUCCCCGGCUUCGGCGCCGCCGGCGACGACCGCGGGAGGCGCGAGCGUCGUAGUAGGGGCGGUGAGGCGGGAGGAGAGGACGGAGAGGGAUUGCGCGGAGGGGUCGAGGAAGAGGAAGGCGAGGGCGAGGAGCGCGGAGACGAGGAGGA
rnacentral:sRNA from 1 species